UACAGAGGUCCCGAGCGUUGUUCGGAUUCACUGGGCGUAAAGGGUGCGUAGGUGGUGGGGUAAGUCGGAUGUGAAAUCUCCAGGCUCAACCUGGAGGGGUCAUUCGAUACUGCCGUGACUAGAGUUCGGUAGAGGAGUGUGGAAUUCCUGGUGGAGCGGUGAAAUGCGCAGAGAUCAGGAGGAACACCCGUAGCGAAGGCGGCACUCUGGGCCGAUACUGACACUGAGGAGCGAAAGCGUGGGGAGCGAACAGG
rnacentral:rRNA from 1 species